AGCCAAGCUUUUUGUUGUUCUGUACUAAAAUUGAAGUGAUACAGAGAAGAUUAGCAUCGCCCUUGUGCAAGGAUAAUAAGCAAUUAUAUCGUGAAGUAUUCCACAAAAAC
rnacentral:snRNA from 1 species